rnacentral:rRNA from 1 species
GACGAACCGUGCGAACGUUAUUCGGAAUCACUGGGCUUAAAGCGCGUGUAGGCGGGGCGGCACGUCGGGCGUUGAAAUCCCCCGGCUUAACCGGGGAACGGGCGCCGAUACGACCGGCCUGGAGGGACGUAGGGGGACCUGGAACUUCCGGUGGAGCGGUGAAAUGCGUUGAGAUCGGAAAGAACACCAACGGCGAAAGCACUCUGCUGGGCCGACACUGACACUGAGAGACGAAAGCUAGGGGAGCGAAUGGG